CCUACGGGGGGCAGCAGUGGGGAAUAUUGCACAAUGGGCGCAAGCCUGAUGCAGCCAUGCCGCGUGUGUGAAGAAGGCCUUCGGGUUGUAAAGCACUUUCAGCGGGGAGGAAGGCGGUGAGGUUAAUAACCUCAUCGAUUGACGUUACCCGCAGAAGAAGCACCGGCUAACUCCGUGCCAGCAGCCGCGGUAAUACGGAGGGUGCAAGCGUUAAUCGGAAUUACUGGGCGUAAAGCGCACGCAGGCGGUCUGUCAAGUCGGAUGUGAAAUCCCCGGGCUCAACCUGGGAACUGCAUUCGAAGCUGGCAGGCUAGAGUCUUGUAGAGGGGGGUAGAAUUCCAGGUGUAGCGGUGAAAUGCGUAGAGAUCUGGAGGAAUACCGGUGGCGAAGGCGGCCCCCUGGACAAAGACUGACGCUCAGGUGCGAAAGCGUGGGGAGCAAACAGGAUUAGAUACCCCGGUAGUC
rnacentral:rRNA from 1 species